rnacentral:rRNA from 1 species
CAGUCGAACGAGUUCUCGUUGAUGAUCGGUGCUUGCACCGAGAUUCAACAUGGAACGAGUGGCGGACGGGUGAGUAACACGUGGGUAACCUGCCCUUAAGUGGGGGAUAACAUUUGGAAACAGAUGCUAAUACCGCAUAGAUCCAAGAACCGCAUGGUUCUUGGCUGAAAGAUGGCGUAAGCUAUCGCUUUUGGAUGGACCCGCGGCGUAUUAGCUAGUUGGUGAGGUAAUGGCUCACCAAGGCGAUGAUACGUAGCCGAACUGAGAGGUUGAUCGGCCACAUUGGGACUGAGACACGGCCCAAACUCCUACGGGAGGCAGCAGUAGGGAAUCUUCCACAAUGGACGCAAGUCUGAUGGAGCAACGCCGCGUGAGUGAAGAAGGCUUUCGGGUCGUAAAACUCUGUUGUUGGAGAAGAAUGGUCGGCAGAGUAACUGUUGUCGGCGUGACGGUAUCCAACCAGAAAGCCACGGCUAACUACGUGCCAGCAGCCGCGGUAAUACGUAGGUGGCAAGCGUUAUCCGGAUUUAUUGGGCGUAAAGCGAGCGCAGGCGGUUUUUUAAGUCUGAUGUGAAAGCCCUCGGCUUAACCGAGGAAGCGCAUCGGAAACUGGGAGACUUGAGUGCAGAAGAGGACAGUGGAACUCCAUGUGUAGCGGUGAAAUGCGUAGAUAUAUGGAAGAACACCAGUGGCGAAGGCGGCUGUCUGGUCUGUAACUGACGCUGAGGCUCGAAAGCAUGGGUAGCGAACAGGAUUAGAUACCCUGGUAGUCCAUGCCGUAAACGAUGAGUGCUAAGUG